GAUGAACGCUGGCGGCGUGCCUAAUACAUGCAAGUCGAGCGAACAGAUAAGGAGCUUGCUCCUUUGAAGUUAGCUGCGGACGGGUGAGUAACACGUGGGUAACCUACCUAUAAGACUGGGAUAACUUCGGGAAACCGGAGCUAAUACCGGAUAACAUUUAGAACCGCAUGGUUCUAAAGUGAAAGAUGGUUUUGCUAUCACUUAUAGAUGGACCCGCGCCGUAUUAGCUAGUUGGUAAGGUAACGGCUUACCAAGGCGACGAUACGUAGCCGACCUGAGAGGGUGAUCGGCCACACUGGAACUGAGACACGGUCCAGACUCCUACGGGAGGCAGCAGUAGGGAAUCUUCCGUAAUGGGCGAAAGCCUGACGGAGCAACGCCGCGUGAGUGAUGAAGGGUUUCGGCUCGUAAAACUCUGUUAUUAGGGAAGAACAAAUGUGUAAGUAACUGUGCACAUCUUGACGGUACCUAAUCAGAAAGCCAGGGCUGACUACGUG
rnacentral:rRNA from 1 species